rnacentral:rRNA from 1 species
GAAUCUUAGACAAUGGGCGCAAGCCUGAUCUAGCCAUACCGCGUGAACGAUGAAGGCCUUAGGGUUGUAAAGUUCUUUCACCGGGGAAGAUAAUGACGGUACCCGGAGAAGAAGCCCCGGCUAACUCCGUGCCAGCAGCCGCGGUAAUACGGAGGGGGCUAGCGUUGUUCGGAAUUACUGGGCGUAAAGCGCACGUAGGCGGAUUGGAAAGUCAGGGGUGAAAUCCCGGGGCUCAACCCCGGAACUGCCUUUGAAACUACCAGUCUAGAGGUCGAGAGAGGUGAGUGGAAUUCCGAGUGUAGAGGUGAAAUUCGUAGAUAUUCGGAGGAACACCAGUGGCGAAGGCGGCUCACUGGCUCGAUUCUGACGCUGAGGUGCGAAAGCGUGGGGAGCAAACAGG